rnacentral:misc_RNA from 1 species
AGAAUCCUGACGUUUGAGGUAAUGGGUAUCUGGAUUUGGCUGCAGCACCAUAAGCAUCUAUGAUCGUUCGCCUGUACUGAUCAACUAAGCUUCCGGUUUCAGCGUGAAAAAGAGGCAAGACAUUUUUCACUUGGAUUGCAGCCUUCUCAACCACUUCUUUCGGCAAUCCAUCACCAUCGGCCAAGUAUAGGUCUUUUAGGGAUUUGAAAUCCUCUUCCAG